rnacentral:rRNA from 1 species
GCGGAGGAAAAGAAACCAACAGGGAUUACCUCAGUAACGGCGAGUGAAGCGGUAACAGCUCAAAUUUGAAAUCUGGCCCUUUCAGGGUCCGAGUUGUAAUUUGUAGAAGAUGCUUUGGGUGUGGCUCCGGUCUAAGUUCCUUGGAACAGGACGUCAUAGAGGGUGAGAAUCCCGUAUGUGACCGGUGGCUUUCGCCCGUGUAAAGCUCUUUCGACGAGUCGAGUUGUUUGGGAAUGCAGCUCAAAAUGGGUGGUAUAUUUCAUCUAAAGCUAAAUAUUGGCCAGAGACCGAUAGCGCACAAGUAGAGUGAUCGAAAGAUGAAAAGCACUUUGGAAAGAGAGUUAAACAGUACGUGAAAUUGUUGAAAGGGAAGCGCUUGCAACCAGACUCGCGCGCCGUUGAUCAUCCGGGGUUCUCCCCGGUGCACUCGGCGGCGCUCGGGCCAGCAUCAGUUUGGGUGGUGGGAUAAAGGCCUUGGGAAUGUAGCUCCCCUCGGGGAGUGUUAUAGCCCUCGGUGCAAUGCCACCUACCCGGACUGAGGACCGCGCUUCGGCUAGGAUGCUGGCGUAAUGGUUGUAAGCGA